ACCACCCUUACCACUGUCUACCACCCUUACCAUCUACCAUUUCUUAUCAUUUAAUCAGAAGAUAAAUUUACCGAAGGAGUGUGUGGUGAACCCAAGGACGUGGUGCUGGACUGGUCGGCGUCACUGGGGCCCACAGAACCUCAUCGCUAUCUUAGUAACCCCUUAUAACAACUAUCCCAUUGGUGACCUCGGGAACACACGAAUCUUCAACAAGCAAGAGGUUACAGUUCCUACCUGUUUAAUCUCCAACAUGGCAGUCUUGAAGGCCAGGAAGUCUGUGAAGGUGAUGAGCAGAUCAAACACUUCCCCGUCUAGAGCAUGAGAGGCUGAUAACUCCUGCAGGAAAGCCGCCAUCUUGAAUCCACUCUCGCGGGCGGAUAAUUCUCUCUCUAUGUGGCCCUCGAUCAAGCUAGUCUACGGGAGAUGUGUCUUUGUGAGAUGAUAUUUACAACUGUGUUAACAGAUAGAAUUUCUUCCUGAAUCUAAAUUCUCAUAUUCCACAAAGUCCUUCAAUAAUCAUUACACUAUAUAAUUUUUUGCUACAUCUGAUCUAAAUUUUAUAACCUAACCUAACAUGAUGACAAUUAUAACCAAAAUAUAUUA